UACGUAGGGGGCAAGCGUUGUCCGGAUUUAUUGGGCGUAAAGAGCGUGUAGGCGGCUUUACAGGUCCGUUGUGAAAACUCGAGGCUCAACCUCGAGACGCCGGUGGAAACCGUAAAGCUAGAGUCCGGAAGAGGAGAGUGGAAUUCCUGGUGUAGCGGUGAAAUGCGCAGAUAUCAGGAGGAACACCAAUGGCGAAGGCAGCUCGCUGGGACGUUACUGACGCUGAGACGCGAAAGCGUGGGGAGCAAACAGG
rnacentral:rRNA from 1 species